ACGUAGGCAGCGAGCGUUGUUCGGAGUUACUGGGCGUAAAGAGUGCGUAGGCGGUUUUCUAAGUUUGGUGUGAAAUCUCCCGGCUUAACUGGGAGGGUGCGCCGAAAACUGGAAGGCUUGAGUGUGGGAGAGGUAAGCGGAAUUCCUGGUGUAGCGGUGAAAUGCGUAGAUAUCUGGAGGAACACCGAUGGCGAAGGCAGCCCCCUGGGCUAACACUGACGCUGAUGCACGAAAGCGUGGGGAGCAAACAGGA
rnacentral:rRNA from 1 species